GAUGAACGCUGGCGGCGUGCCUAAUACAUGCAAGUCGAGCGAACGGACGAGAAGCUUGCUUCUCUGAUGUUAGCGGCGGACGGGUGAGUAACACGUGGAUAACCUACCUAUAAGACUGGGAUAACUUCGGGAAACCGGAGCUAAUACCGGAUAAUAUUUUGAACCGCAUGGUUCAAAAGUGAAAGACGGUCUUGCUGUCACUUAUAGAUGGAUCCGCGCUGCAUUAGCUAGUUGGUAAGGUAACGGCUUACCAAGGCAACGAUGCAUAGCCGACCUGAGAGGGUGAUCGGCCACACUAGAACGGAGACACGGUCCAUGCUCCUACGGGAGGCAGCAGUAGGGAAUCGUCCGCAAUGGGCGAAAGCCUGACGGAGCAACGCCGCGUGAGUGAUGAAGGUCUUCGGAUCGUAAAACUCUGUUAUUAGGGAAGAACAUAUGUGUAAGUAACUGUGCACAUCUUGACGGUACCUAAUCAGAAAGCCACGGCUAACUACGUG
rnacentral:rRNA from 1 species